UUGCCCUGAUGUGGGGGAUAACCAUUGGAAACGAUGGCUAAUACCGCAUGAUGCCUACGGGCCAAAGAGGGGGACCUUCGGGCCUCUCGCGUCAGGAUAUGCCUAGGUGGGAUUAGCUAGUUGGUGAGGUAAGGGCUCACCAAGGCGACGAUCCCUAGCUGGUCUGAGAGGAUGAUCAGCCACACUGGAACUGAGACACGGUCCAGACUCCUACGGGAGGCAGCAGUGGGGAAUAUUGCACAAUGGGCGCAAGCCUGAUGCAGCCAUGCCGCGUGUGUGAAGAAGGCCUUCGGGUUGUAAAGCACUUUCAGUCGUGAGGAAGG
rnacentral:rRNA from 1 species